CGGACGGGUGAGUAACGCGUGGGUAACCUGCCUUGUACUGGGGGACAACAGUUAGAAAUGACUGCUAAUACCGCAUAAGCGCACAGUAUCGCAUGAUACAGUGUGAAAAACUCCGGUGGUACAAGAUGGACCCGCGUCUGAUUGGCUAGUUGGUAAGGUAACGGCUUACCAAGGCGACGAUCAGUAGCCGACCUGAGAGGGUGACCGGCCACAUUGGGACUGAGACACGGCCCAAACUCCUACGGGAGGCAGCAUG
rnacentral:rRNA from 1 species